rnacentral:tRNA from 1 species
GAAAUAUGACGCCCAAAAGAAAGCUGCUAACUUUCUUCUUUAAUGGUUAAAUUCCAUUUAUAUUUCU